rnacentral:lncRNA from 1 species
UUUUCUCUACCUCCUCUUUAACUACCACUUCUUUUCCACACUUUUUCUCAACCUCGUUUGAUUCUUUCUUUUACUCACUCCCUUUUGUCCUCAAAGGUAACACCCUACUCCAUAACUCAAUGGCUUUUCAACUUUCAUUUUUUGUGUUAUCCAUAGCGUUACCAAUAAAUCCCCCACUUGAACUAGAUUAUGUUUCCAUUUGUCAAGAUAAUUGACCGAUAUGCAUCUCUAAGUUCUUUAUUGAAG